AUACGUAGGUGGCAAGCGUUGUCCGGAUUUACUGGGUGUAAAGGGAGCGCAGGCGGGGAAGCAAGUCAGUUGUGAAAACUAUGGGCUUAACUCAUUGAUUGCAGUUGAAACUGUUUGUCUUGAGUGGAGUAGAGGUAAGCGGAAUUCCGAGUGUAAAGGUGAAAUGUGUAGAGAUUCGGAGGAACACCAGUGGCGAAGGCGUGUUACUGGGCUCUAACUGACGCUGAGGCUCGAAAGUGUGGGGAGCAAACAGGAUUAGAUACCCUGGUAGUCCACACUGUAAACGAUGAUUACUAGGUGUGGGGGGUCUGACCCCCUCCGUGCCGCAGUUAACGCAAUAAGUAAUCCACCGGGGGAGUACGACCGCAAGGUUGAAACGCAAAUGAAUUGACGGGG
rnacentral:rRNA from 1 species